CGGCGCCCAUUUGCUUUUGUGGCGCAGACGGAGGCAGCGGUCGGCUGGUAUAUUCUCUGCUUAAGAAGGUCAGAAUUGCAACACUCCAGGUGAUUGUCAAAAUGGUGGAAGCAGAUCGUCCUGGAAAGCUCUUCAUUGGUGGUCUGAAUACUGAAACAAAUGAAAAGGCACUUGAAGCAGUGUUUGGCAAAUAUGGAAGAAUAGUAGAAGUUCUGCUGAUGAAAGAUCGUGAAACAAAUAAGUCGAGGGGUUUUGCUUUUGUUACUUUUGAAAGUCCAGGAGAUGCAAGGGAUGCAGCCAGGGAUAUGAAUGGAAAGUCUUUGGAUGGAAAACCCAUUAAAGUAGAGCAAGCUACUAAACCAGCAUUUGAAAAUAGUGGACGACGUGGACCACCCCCACCCCCAAGAAGCCGUGGUCCUCCUAGGGGGAUUCGAGGUGGAAGAGGAGGUAGUGGAGGAAUGAGAGGUCCACCUCAAAAAGGUGAGCACGGUGAAUGGAUUCAGGAGAUAGAACAGUGCUACCUUAAGAGGAAUGUACAUUUCUUUAGGAGUCCUGACCCGCAGGAUGAUAUGGGAGCAUACACUGUCUCCUCCAGAGGGCCACCAAUGAAAAGGGGUCCCCCAGGACGUGCAAAUGGACCACCACCUAAAAGGCCCCUUCCUUCAGGGCCAAUGCGAAGUGGAGGAAUGGGUGGAAGAGGAAGUGGUUCAAGAGGACCUCCCUCACGUGAAAGGGAUAGUUAUGGUUCGCCUCCAUCUCGCAGAGAGAUGAUGCCAUCAAGAAGAGAUGAUUAUAUGCCAAGAGAGGAUUACUACAACAGCAGAGACAGUUAUUCUAGCAGAGAUUAUCCAAGUUCUAGAGACACAAGAGAUUAUGGUCCACCACCAAGAGACUCCUACAGUUCUCGUGAAUAUUCUCACUCUGGGCGUGAUGAUUAUGGAUCUCGAGGAUACAGUGAUCGAGAUGGAUAUGGUGGACGUGAGCCACGUGACUAUUACAACGAUCGACCAAGUGGUGGCUCCUACAGAGAUUCCUAUGAUGGCUAUGGGUGAGGAUGUAGAAUAAUUUUUUGGCAAUAUUGGCAUGUGGAAUUCUGUGCUAGUUGGAGAUUGGUACCCUUGGUAUAUGAAAAACAUCACAGCUAACCAGAUCAAAGUGGCAUCUGGAUUGGAAUGAUGUAGCUGUCAAAGAAUAUUGAAAGGAAACACUGGACCAGCAUACGUGGAGUAUUAGUGUGCAGCUUUGACUUAAAUAAAAGUGGAAGCAUAAGUGCUCAUCUUUUAAAGUAUAGUGUUCUGUGUACUCUGGUCAUUAACAUACUAUGCUCAGUGCUAUUAGAACUAUAAAGAAUGGGCAAUUGAACAAAAGGCUGCAGUGAUUGAUAGAAUGGUACCUCAGCAUGAAUGUGAUUUUUGUGGAGACGGGGACCAGGAAUUUCAGACUUCUGCUAAACCCAUUUUGUACAUUGGAUAGAAAGAUUGGAAAUGCAUAAGCCAGUCCAUUAUCUGAAAUGAUUUUUCAGCAUUGACCCAUUGUUCCUCAGGGGUCAGGGUUGAGACCCUAGCUAUUUCUGAUAUAUUAACAAUUGGUGUACAGGACACACAGAUGAUAUGGAACUUAGAAGCAUAGUGAACUGAGGAUAGUGUAGAACUUCAAAAGGACAGACUGGUGGAAUGGGUGGAUAGAUUGCUGAUGAAGUCCAAUGUGGAGAAAUGUGAAGUGAUUCAUUUCGGUCAGAAGAACAGAAUAUAAAAUGGUACAAUUCUAAAGGGGAUGCAGAGCAGAGGGAUCUGCGUGCAUGUCAUUAAAGGUGACAGGACAGGUUGAGAGUUGUUAAUGAAGCAUACGUAUACUGUAUCCUAGGCUUUAUGAAUGGGGGUAUAGAGUACAAGAGCAAGGAGAUUAUGUUGAACUUAAGACAUUAGUUUGGCCUCAGCUGGAGCAUUGCAUUCAGUUCUGGGUGCCACUUUAGGAAAGAUGUGAAUGCAUUGGGGAGAGUGCAGAAAAGAUUCAUGAAUGGUUUAAGCGAUGUAUAUCUUCAGUCAUGAAGAUGGUUUGGAGAAAACUGGGACUGUUUUCCUUGGAGAUUGAAGAAAGUGGAGAAGAUUUGAUAGAGGUGUUCAAAAUCAUGAGGGACUGGAGAGAGUAGAUGGGGAGAAAUUGUUCCCACUUGUGAAAGGAUCACAGAUGUCAGAGGGCACAGAUUUGAAGUAAUUAGCAAAAGUGGUUAUGUUCUGGAAUGCACUGCCUGUGUGGUGGAGGCAGGUUCAAUUGAAUCAUCUGAAAAGGAAGAACCUGCUGAGUUACAGGGAGAAGGCAGGAGAAUGGCAAUGUGAAUUGCUCAGUUGUGGUAGAUUUGAGGAAAGUGGGAGAAGGUGCAAAUGGAGCAUUAAUACCAGUAUGGACUGGUUGGACCAAAUAGCCUGGCUCUGUGCUGUAUAUCCAUGUAAAAUGAAGAUUGUGGGUUUGACAGGGUAGAUGCUGAGGUUCCUUCAAGUGUCAUAAUCUCAAGGGCUGACAUUAGGACAGAUCAAAUUUUUCUUCCUCCCCACUCAAGGCCCAUGAAUGCCUAGUAAUUGAAUAUUGAAGUAUGAAAUCUAUUUAUGGGCACUAAGCAAAGAUAUAGCAGGGAAGUGGAGUUGAUGUAGAUUUCAACAUUGAUUUUAUUGAAGGGCAGAACAGGCUCACUAUAUCAAACUCUUCUUGCAUCCUACUGAUGGAACACUUAUUGGCUGUCCAUCAGGAUAUUGUAGGGCUGUGCCUGUGGUAAUUCCCGUGGCUGAUUCUCGGAACUUUAACUUCAUUUUAGGAGCUCAGGAUAUGUGCUGCUUCACUUAGAAGGGGUCAACAUAAACUACUGGAUUAGGAGAAGCUUCAGAAAGGAGCAUAACUGACAAGUAGUAAUAGAAGCCUUUUUAAAAAAGGACAAUGAAACUGAUGCAAGUAAAUGUUAAGACUUUGGUAAGGGUAGUCAAUCAAGUUGUUUUUGUUUGCAUACACAAUUACUAGGUAAUGGCUGCUUUUGUACACAAGUAUUAGUCAAUACUGCUGCACCAGUCAACACUUCUGUCCAGUCAAGGAAUCGAAGUAUUGGCAACAGUGCAAUCAGAUAGCACUUGCUUAGCAAUAACCUGCUCAUUGAUGCUCAGUUUGGGCUUUGCCAGGACCACAUGGCUCCAGACCUUGUUAAAGCCUUGUUCCAAAAUGGACAAAAGAGCUGAAUUCUAGAGCAGUGACUGCCCUUGACAUCAAGGCUGCGUUUGACAGAAUACAGCAUCAAGGAGCUCUAGUAAAAUUGACGUUGUGGGGAAUGAGGGUACAAAUCCCAGUCGGAGUUAUACCUAGCACAAAGGAAGAUGGUUGGCCUCCAGCAACCACAAUCAUCUCAGCCUCCGGAUAUCGCUGCAGGAUUUCCUCAGUGUCUUAAGUCCAAUCAUCUUCAACUGCUUCAGUCAGAUGUUCCCUCCAUUAUAAGAUCAGAAGUGGGGAUGUUUGCUGAUCCCCCAACUGCACAGAUGCAGGCAGCAAGACCUGGACUAUAUUCAGGCUUGGGUUAAGUGGGCAUGUAAUGUGUGCUACAUAAGUUUCAGGCAAUGACCAUCUCCAACAAGGGAAAGUUAAAACAACACCUUGAUAUUUAUAGCGGUGCCAUUGUUAAAUUCCUCCACUAUGAACAAGCCAAUAAAAUAGCUUGGGCUCUUGGUUGUCUUAUGAGGCAUUGAUUACAAAGCAGGAAAGUUAUGCUGAACCUUGAUGGAUCUCUGGUUAGACCACAACUGGAUUAUUGUCCAGUCCUGGUCGCCACAAUUCAGAAUGUGAAAGUCCUUUAAAUGAUGCAUGGGAAAUUUACCGGACUGUUUUCAGGAAUAUGGAAUUUCAGCUAUGAGGUUGUUGAAAAUGCUGGAGUUUUCUUUUGAGUAAAGGUAAUGAGGGAAUAUUUGAUAAGUGAAUAAAAUUGGGGCAGGUUUAGAUAAAGAUUGAGAAAGUAAAGCUGUUCCUAUUAACUGAUGGUAUAACUAAGGAGCAGAGUUAAGGGUUUGGACAAGAGGGAGAAUGUGAAGAACACUAUUAUCCUUUAGGGAAGGAAAUCUGCUAUCCUUACCUGGUGUGGCCUAUACAUGACUCCAGAUCCUCUGAGUGAAGCUUAAUUGUUUGCUGAAUGGCCUAGCAAGCCACACGGUCAAGGGCAAUUAAGUAUAGGCAACAAAUGCUGGCCUUGCCAGUGAUGUCCACGUACCAUGAAAGUAUAAAUUUUAAGACAUUGGGCUAAUUGGAUUGCUCUACAAGAGAGCCAGCAUGGGAUCAGUGGGCUAAACAGAAUCAUGCUGUGCUGUUUUAAGAGGUCAGAGGCUGGGAAUUAUGCAAGUAACUUGGAGUCAGGAGGCAAAACCUUUCUAGUUUACCAUUGUGAGAUUUGAACUCUUGAUCUUGGGGUUGCAAGCCCAGUACCAUAACCACUUUGCUAUUUAGGCCAAACCCUUUCUAGUUUACAAGGCACAGGUUGAGGAGUGUUAGCAAUACUCUCCAAUUUCCUGGAUGAUUGCAGCUCCAACAACAUUCAAACUUCCAGAACUACUUGCUUCCAGGACAAAGCAGCCAAGUGAUUGGCACUACUUUCACCAUCCACAGAAUGCAUCUGCAGUAUGUAACAUUUACAUGCACUGCAGCAGCCCCCAAAUCCACAGCUAAGUUUUUAGAAAGAAAUUGCACGAAGGGUGAAGACACAGGUGUAGUGUUUGGCUGAGGGUUUGAAAUAGUUGUAGUGAGGCCCCAUUUUACAACUUAUAGCAAAAUGUUAGUUGUUUGGUAUGUGAAGAAGUGGUUGGUGCAGUUCAAAGCUGAAGAAUUGGAAAGAUUCAAAUUAGCUGCAACCACUUCACUCUGACUAUAGUUGCAGCAUGUCAAAUUUAUUAUUUUCUAAUAACCUGGAUAUAGGAAUUUAUAAUAAAGUUUGACAGCAGUAGAAUGGAGUAUUUGUGGAAAGACUGCAGUUAAAAUUUAUAGAUGCCUAACCUAGGGAAACUGGAAUUUAAAUUGGCAUGCAAGAAGUCUCUUAAAAUGAGUUAACAUCUUAAGUUAUCUGAUUUAUGGGUGACAGCUUCCAGAUUACAGCUGUUAACUUCAAAGAAUCUGGCCUUGUGUUGGAAAACCCAAAUGGCAAUCCUUUGGAAUGUAUGCAGUUACCAAACUGCAUUUUGGUUUGAGACCAUAAUUCAAAAUAUCCUGUAUUUCAGAGAAAUGUUUGUAAAGGUUGUGUAUUUUUGACAACAAGGUCUCUUAAAUUUUGCAAUAAAUUUGACUUGUGAA